UCUCGGCUUGGGGCCUUCCGCCCCUUGACUUGAGUCGAUCGUACACGCAUAGUAGCGCUUACUGCGCACUUGCGUCGUACGGGGAGACUGACCCGGUGACGUCAUGGCGCGGCCGUCCAGCGGCGCUCACGGCGUCUCCGGGUUGGGAUGCUUAUUUAAUGGCCAACAGGCCAUUGGACAAGCAGCGUCGGUCGGUCCAUCGGCAGUCCGAUGGCACGGCUGUGAUAGCCCAGGAUGUGGUCGGCUUCAGAUUGGGGCUCUCCCUGGACGCAGUUCACGCUACCCUCUAGUCCGUGCAUUACCAUGCAUCUGUCAUCCUCAUGGAUACCCUUCCUAGAUGACCUAAUACUGGACCCGCCAGUAUCCUUGGACCUGUGUACCUAUGCGCCCCUGGUAAUUCCCCACUGUGCUGCCUUGUCCACGUCCUCUGUCCGGCAGAUCUGGGGCCAUUACACCAGCACUUUAUUCCACCUGGCCUGGUUGUAUUCCUCACAAUUUUCUAUCGUGACCUUUACGAUCAACUAUCCCCCUGCCCGCCAAGGGGGGACCCCCCGUAGGCCGCCUGGUUCCGCGCAUUAUCAAUUGACUCAUUCGAUUGGCUGUCCUGACGAAGCGGAAACCCCGCGAAACUAGU